CUCAAAGGCCACAUGCAGACAGAGAGGUUGGCCCUGUCCAUACGCUGGCGUCUGGAACCUUCCAGUGCUCUGAAUCAUUACCACCCAGGAGAUCACACCCAUCCAUCCCAAAGGAAAUCAGCCCUGAAUAUUCAGUGGAAGGACUGAUGCUAAAGCUGAAGCUCCAGUACUUUGGCCUCCUGAGGCUCACUGGAAAAGACCCUGAUGCUGGGCAAGAUUGAAGGAGCUUCUGCCGGUGGGAAGGGCCAGGUAAGCCCCAAGCCUGCCCUUGUUCAAGGCCGGGGGAUGGCCGGCUGCCCUCCACCUGCACUCCAGCAGAUGGCGCUGUGGGGGCUGCCUCCCCUGCCCUCCACCUGCACUCCAGCAGGCAGCGCUGUGGACUUCGGCUGGGGCUGCCUCUACGCGGGGACGCAUGGAGAGCCCAAGAGAGGCAGGACGGGCGAUGUUUCCACUUGCAAAGUGGGGAGAGCAUCCUUCAUGGUCCCCAUGCCCCCUCGCUCCAGAGAAGAGGAGUGGGGUGAAAAUCCAAGCCCAUUUUCAAGUGCUUCGUUUCUAAAUUAUCCUGGAACUGUGGCGUUUGGAGUUGAGAAGAACCUUCGAGAUCUCAUCCCAGACAGAACAAACCGUGCGCAUUCCCUGAUCUCUGAAUAUAGCCCCCACCCGGCGCUGAGGUGCUGGGGUUUGGUUUCUCCUACAGAGGGAUCUUCCCUCUACUGUUAGGGCCCCGUCAGGCAGGUGAGAAGGUCGGGUCUCAGAGAGGCUGAGAGACUCACACCAGGGCCUGCAGCCCCUGACUGGGAGGCAGGGCUGGAAGUCUGACCCCACACGCCCAAACCGGAAGCUCUUGAUGAUGCGGUCUGCAGCCCCAAGGCCCCUGGAGGGCUGGACACCCCAGCUCCCUGCCCUGCAGCCUUCUCCUGUAGUAAGGACCUUGACGAUCCAUCUUCAUCCUCAUCCAACCAGGCCCACCUCUCAGACUCCAGAACUGCAGCCCUGAACAGGGCACACAGGGGCCUCCUGGGGCCUGAGUCUGUGUCCCCAUCAGAGGAGAGCACUGGGGUGUCUGGGCAGCUGACGCUGUUUAGAUCAGAAGGUGAGAGAAGGUGGCCAAGACCUGGCAGGGAGAUGGCAGGUGCAAAGGCCCAGGGCAGAGACCAGCCUGAUUUGCUGUGAUCACAUCUGAGAAAGAAAGGGAACCAUGGGUGUGACUGAAAGGUCCUCAGGUCACCGUGAUCAUCAUCAUUGGCCUCCUCACAGUAGCUGAUGUUUAUAGAAUGCUUGCUCAACACAGGCUCAGUGCUAACAA
ensembl:lncRNA